rnacentral:rRNA from 1 species
CCUACGGGUGACAGCAGUGAGGAAUAUUGGUCAAUGGACGAGAGUCUGAACCAGCCAAGUAGCGUGAAGGAUGACUGCCCUACGGGUUGUAAACUUCUUUUAUAAAGGAAUAAAAUGAGCCACGUGUGGCAUUUUGUAUGUACUUUAUGAAUAAGGAUCGGCUAACUCCGUGCCAGCAGCCGCGGUAAUACGGAGGAUCCGAGCGUUAUCCGGAUUUAUUGGGUUUAAAGUGAACGUAGAUGGGUUGUUAAGUCAGUUGUGAAAGUUUGCGGCUCAACCGUACAAUUGCAGUUGACACUGGCAGUCUUGAGUACAGUAGAGGUGGGCGGAAUUCGUGGUGUAGCGGUGAAAUGCUUAGAUAUCACGAAGAACUCCGAUUGCGAAGGCAGCUCACUAGACUGCAACUGACACUGAGGCUCGAAAGUGUGGGUAUCAAACAGGAUUAGAUACCCUUGUAGUC